rnacentral:rRNA from 1 species
AACGAACGCUGGCGGCAGGCCUAACACAUGCAAGUCGAGCGGCACCUUCGGGUGUAGCGGCGGACGGGUGAGUAACGCGUGGGAACGUACCCUUUGCUACGGAAUAGCCUCGGGAAACUGGGAGUAAUACCGUAUGUGCCCUUCGGGGGAAAGAUUUAUCGGCAAAGGAUCGGCCCGCGUUGGAUUAGGUAGUUGGUGGGGUAAUGGCCUACCAAGCCGACGAUCCAUAGCUGGUUUGAGAGGAUGAUCAGCCACACUGGGACUGAGACACGGCCCAGACUCCUACGGGAGGCAGCAGUGGGGAAUCUUAGACAAUGGGCGCAAGCCUGAUCUAGCCAUGCCGCGUGAGCGAUGAAGGCCUUAGGGUUGUAAAGCUCUUUCAGUGGGGAAGAUAAUGACGGUACCCACAGAAGAAGCCCCGGCUAACUCCGUGCCAGCAGCCGCGGUAAU